rnacentral:rRNA from 1 species
CAGCAGCCGCGGUAAUACGAAGGGUGCAAGCGUUAACCGGAAUUACUGGGCGUAAAGCGUGCGUAGGCGGUGAGUUAAGUCUGCUGUGAAAGCCCUGGGCUCAACCUGGGAAUUGCAGUGGAUACUGGGUCACUAGAGUGUGGUAGAGGAUAGUGGAAUUUCCGGUGUAGCAGUGAAAUGCGUAGAGAUCGGAAGGAACAUCUGUGGCGAAGGCGACUAUCUGGGCCAACACUGACACUGAGGCACGAAAGCGUGGGGAGCAAACAGGAUUAGAGACCCCCGUAGUCCCUGUCUCUUAUAC